AUUGGAACGCUGGCGGCAUGCCUUACACAUGCAAGUCGAACGGUAACAGGUCUUCGGACGCUGACGAGUGGCGAACGGGUGAGUAAUACAUCGGAACGUGCCCAGUCGUGGGGGAUAACUACUCGAAAGAGUAGCUAAUACCGCAUACGAUCUGAGGAUGAAAGCGGGGGACCUUCGGGCCUCGCGCGAUUGGAGCGGCCGAUGGCAGAUUAGGUAGUUGGUGGGAUAAAAGCUUACCAAGCCGACGAUCUGUAGCUGGUCUGAGAGGACGACCAGCCACACUGGGACUGAGACACGGCCCAGACUCCUACGGGAGGCAGCAGUGGGGAAUUUUGGACAAUGGGCGAAAGCCUGAUCCAGCCAUGCCGCGUGUGUGAAGAAGGUCCUUCGGAUUGUAAAGCCACUUUAAGUUGGGAGGAAGGG
rnacentral:rRNA from 1 species